rnacentral:lncRNA from 13 species
CAAGAUAUGGUUGUUUAAAAGUGUGUAGCGCUUUCCCCUUCACUCUCUUCCUCCUCCUUCAGACACGUGAAGCCUUCACCUUCCGCCAUGAUUGUAAGUUUCCUGAGGCCUUCCCAGCCACGCGUCCUAUACAGCCUGUGGAAUGGAGGAAGAGACUUGCAUUAUCUCAGAAGACACUUUGGACUUGGACUUUUGGAUUAAUGGUGGCACGAGAUGAGGAGACUGAAGCCCAAAGAGGUUGAGUCUUGUCCAAGGUCCAACGGCUACUAACUGUAAGUCAAAAUUGGAGUCUAGAUUUUUCAGAUGAUAUAUCCAGUACCUUUCUACCAUAUAACAAAGACGAUUGGUUUAUAAACACAUUCUUG